UUUUCAUUUUAAUCCUCGGCCGAGUGAACACAGAAAUUGAGUAGCGGAAAAAAUCAAAUACCAUCAUUGAGAGAAUGAGCACUGGAAUGUUGAGAGCGGGAUCGUCUCGCCGAUCGAAAACAAAGUCCCCUUACGCGAGACCUGCUCGAUCAACACGAUCCAUGCCGGCCACGGACCAAGCACGUGGCCCCGCACUGGCCACAGACCAAGCACGUGCUACAGACCCCACCCUGCCCACAGAUCAAGCUACGACGUCAAGUGUCCAAAACAUCCCCCAAGUUCCAAGCAGUGUCCCUAAUGCCUGUGGAAUGUAUAGCUCACCGCCUGCGCAGAUGUCAACUAUGCCUGCGUUAGAGCCUCAACACAGUCAACCGCAAGGAACCAGUAUGUCUACUGUAACAUCACCUCUGGUGGCUCAACACGGUUUUACCAACAGUGACAAAAUCUAGAUUCAAUAUGGAUUGUUGGAUCAUCUCUUAUUAAAAGAGCUGAGCAGUAUGCAUCAAUGUCAACAGAGUUUGGUACAGACCUUUCAUUACCUAAUGUAUCAGUGUUAUGGAAAGGAGUAUCAGGGUUAAGUUUUGACAGUGUUGCCGAUAUUAUUUGUGACUUGCGAUCAAAAUAUCCACAUCCAAGGUUUCUGGUCAUCCAUGCAGGUGGAAAUGACAUUGGUAAAGAUGAUAACCCAUUAUCUAGACAACAAAAGUUUAUAAAAAAAGUUAUGGUCAAUUUGAGUACGGAUAUGCCUGCAACAUGCAUUGUUUGGUCACAUAUAUUACCUAGAUUAUAUUGGCGACAUGCCAUUUCAAACAUGGCAGCAGAGACAUCUAGGCUUAGGAUAAAUAGUUCUGUGGCCACUCUUGUUUUGAAGAUAGGCGGUGCUUCAAUUAAAUAUGUUGACAUUAAACCCAAUCAAAGUAAUCUCUUUCUGAAUGACGGGGUUCAUUUGUCGCCUUCGGGCAAUCAUGAAUUUGUGUCAACCUUGCAGUCAGCUCUAAGGCAAUUUAUUGAUGGUAAAAGUUUAUGUUAUCCAAAGAUAUGAUCAAGAGUUAGUCUGGAACUGUUGUGGCUUUUAUUAUGAAUGAGUUGAAAAAUGAUUUUAAUAUGUACAUGUAUAUACACAUUGUUAGGUCGAUAUAUGUGAAUGUUGCUAUGGAAGCUUUAAAUGGUCAAAAUUAAACCGCUGUGAUGGCGGUUGGAUUUCAUUCUGCAUGAAAUCCAAUUGGCGCAAUUUUGACAUAUAACCAUUUGCUGAGGGAUACUGUUGUCUCCAGGUCCCCCAGCUCUGAUAUGGUUUGUUGAAUGAAUAAUUUGUGAAUGCUAUGCUGCCAAAAGCUUACAAGUGGUAAGAUCGGCGCAUAGAGUAUGAACAUGCAAGUGGCAUGUUAACUGUGAAUGUUGAUAUGAAUAAAAAGCCAUGACAGUUCCGCC
rnacentral:misc_RNA from 1 species